rnacentral:rRNA from 1 species
GCAAGUCGAGCGGGGGAAGGUAGCUUGCUACUGGACCUAGCGGCGGACGGGUGAGUAAUGCUUAGGAAUCUGCCUAUUAGUGGGGGACAACAUCUCGAAAGGGAUGCUAAUACCGCAUACGUCCUACGGGAGAAAGCAGGGGAUCUUCGGACCUUGCGCUAAUAGAUGAGCCUAAGUCGGAUUAGCUAGUUGGUGGGGUAAAGGCCUACCAAGGCGACGAUCUGUAGCGGGUCUGAGAGGAUGAUCCGCCACACUGGGACUGAGACACGGCCCAGACUCCUACGGGAGGCAGCAGUGGGGAAUAUUGGACAAUGGGGGGAACCCUGAUCCAGCCAUGCCGCGUGUGUGAAGAAGGCCUUAUGGUUGUAAAGCACUUUAAGCGAGGAGGAGGCUACUUUAGUUAAUACCUAGAGAUAGUGGACGUUACUCGCAGAAUAAGCACCGGCUAACUCUGUGCCAGCAGCCGCGGUAAUACAGAGGGUGCGAGCGUUAAUCGGAUUUACUGGGCGUAAAGCGUGCGUAGGCGGCUUAUUAAGUCGGAUGUGAAAUCCCCGAGCUUAACUUGGGAAUUGCAUUCGAUACUGGUGAGCUAGAGUAUGGGAGAGGAUGGUAGAAUUCCAGGUGUAGCGGUGAAAUGCGUAGAGAUCUGGAGGAAUACCGAUGGCGAAGGCAGCCAUCUGGCCUAAUACUGACGCUGAGGUACGAAAGC